CCGGCGUGCUCACACAUUCAGUCGAGCGGUAAGGCCCUUCGGGGUACACGAGCGGCGAACGGGUGAACGUGGGUGACCUGCCCUCAGCUCUGGGAUAAGCCCGGGAAACUGGGUCUAAUACCGGAUAUGACCUCUCAACGCAUGUUGGGUGGUGGAAAGUUUUUCGGCUGGGGAUGGGCCCGCGGCCUAUCAGCUUGUUGGUGGGGUGAUGGCCUACCAAGGCGGUGACGGGUAGCCGGCCUGAGAGGGCGACCGGCCACACUGGGACUGAGACACGGCCCAGACUCCUACGGGAGGCAGCAGUGGGGAAUAUUGCGCAAUGGGCGGAAGCCUGACGCAGCGACGCCGCGUGGGGGAUGACGGCCUUCGGGUUGUAAACCUCUUUCGACUCCGACGAAGCGAGAGUGACGGUAGGAGUAGAAGAAGCACCG
rnacentral:rRNA from 1 species